UACGAAGGGGGCUAGCGUUGUUCGGAAUUACUGGGCGUAAAGCGUGCGCAGGCGGCCUUCCAAGUCAGGGGUGAAAGCCCAGAGCUCAACUCUGGAAUUGCCUUUUAGACUGCAUCGCUUGAAUCAUGGAGAGGUCAGUGGAAUUCCGAGUGUAGAGGUGAAAUUCGUAGAUAUUCGGAAGAACACCAGUGGCGAAGGCGGCUGACUGGACAUGUAUUGACGCUGAGGUGCGAAAGCGUGGGGAGCAAACAGG
rnacentral:rRNA from 1 species